CCUACGGGAGGCAGCAGUGGGGAAUAUUGCACAAUGGGGGAAACCCUGAUGCAGCGACGCCGCGUGAAGGAAGAAGGAUUUCGGUAUGUAAACUUCUAUCAGCAGGGAAGAAAAUGACGGUACCUGACUAAGAAUCCCCGGCUAACUACGUGCCAGCAGCCGCGGUAAUACGUAGGGGGCAAGCGUUCUCCGGAUUUACUGGGUGUAAAGGGAGCGUGGGCGGCGAUGUAAGUCAGAAGUGAAAGCCCAGGGCUCAACUCCGGGACUGCUUUUGAAACUGUGUUGCUAGAUUGCAGGAGAGGUAAGUGGAAUUCCUAGUGUAGCGGUGAAAUGCGUAGAUAUUAGGAGGAACACCAGUGGCGAAGGCGGCUUACUGGACUGUAAAUGACGCUGAGGCUCGAAAGCGUGGGGAGCAAACAGGAUUAGAUACCCGUGUAGUC
rnacentral:rRNA from 1 species